CACUUUCACUACAUCCCUGAUAAAUCUACCCAAAAUCACGUUUUCUGACGUUCACAGACUCACUGAACAACAUUCCAUUACAGCCCGCUCCAAACUGGACAAGGGAUACAGUUUAUUUUUCGAGAAAUAUGUCUACGACUACGAAGUGUCCAACAUCAUUGAUAGGGAGGUGGCUGUCAGGUCUAGGUGUUACAGGUCGAUGAAGAAGCGAGAACAGCCCCACUAUUUGAAGAUUGUUUUCCAAGCUGACGGCGCCAAUCUUCAAGAAACCACAUGCAGCUGUACAGCAGGCAAGGUUCUUUGCAACCAUCUAGUGGCCUUGUUGUUCCAGAGUGCCCAUUACAGCAUGUUGCAGGUGAGAGCUGUACCACCUCCUAUGGCCUGCACAAGCUCUCUGCAAACAUGGCAUCGACCAAGGACUAAGGGGAUCCAUGCAGAGCCGGUUCCAGACUUGGUGGUUAGGAGACCAAAGCCAUCCCCCAGGAGUGUAUGCAAAUCAACUCUCUAUCAAGCAUACACAGGAUCCCUCCCUGACCUGCAAGUCUUGUCUCUUGGGGAAACACUGAAAAAUAUCAGGCCUCAACCACUGAUAUCCUCAGUGCUACAUGGCUUGUCUGAAGUCUCCAUGGUAGACUCCAGCUUCGGACCUGUGCCGCGGGG